NNNNNNNNNNNNNNNNNNNNNGCCAUUUUAGAGAAAGACCCUCAGACCAGUACCAACAGAAAGAUAAAAGCUUUGAAGGAAUGGGAGACAGAAGCCCUUAUAAUGAACAAAGACAUUUAAAAACUUGUUUUGCUUGUCGAAAAGCAGGCCAUUUUAUUUCAAAUUGUGAAUUUAUUCAAAACAAAGAAAUGGGACAACAGAAAACAGGGGGAGUUGUACCUAAAAAGAUGUACUAUAUACAAAAGCAGGAUGAAGGGUCGGAGACAAACCAGCAGAAUGGCAGUUUAACUGACACGGUGACACAGGACCAACUGCCUCCGCUAGCAGAGAUAGUCUACUGCUAUCACAUUAAAACCAACAGGGAAUUGAUGAAGUCAUCUGGAGAAAAUAUUUACAUUACUAAUAUCAAAUAUUUAGCUUUGAGAGAUUCAUGUUCUCAAAUAACAGUAUGUCAUAUUGAUUUUAUUCCACAGGAAAAUAUCAUUCCAAAUGAGAAAAUUGCAGUUAAAGGAAUUGGGACAGAAUUAAGUAAGUUACCCAUGGCUAAAGUGCGUAUAAGGUAUAAAGAGUGGACUGGUAAAUUUAAAAUAGCUGUCUCAGAUCAGAUCCAUACGCCUUGUUUAAUUGGUUUAGAUUUAAUUAAUUAUAUCAAAACUGGUAUGAUCACCACAUGCUCACAGACAGAAAAGAUAGAAAAUCCUUAUGGUAAUAGUGAGGUUCCUGAGGAAGAUAUAAGUGUCUGUCAAUCACCUGAACUUGCAGGAGGUGUAGAUAUAAUAAAGUCUCAGAAAAAGAGUUUUAAACAGAAACAAGAAAAUUAUACGCUGCAGCAAUCUUUUAAUGCAGUCAAAGAAGAACCAGUAAUUCCAGAAUUCCCUAAAAGAGUCUUUAUAGAUAAAAAUAUCCACAAACAAAUGGAUAUCCCUUGUGAGUACAGAGAGAUGUCUGGAGUUGAAAAAGAGGUUUGGAAUAAGAUGAGACAUGUUAAGGGUGGUUUCAUAUAUACAAGCUCACAAGGUAGUCAGAAUACACCCACUACAGCAACUGGAGAAAGUGGGGGAGAAAAAAAACUGCUAGAGAGUCAGAGUAAUAAAUGGGUAGAAGAAAGUUGUAAGGGUAUGAGAAAGCCCAAUGAAAGGAAUUUUGCCCAGGAGCUAAAGGAGAAUAAUAGCUCAGAGAAUUGUUUAAAAGAGGUUCAAAAUUACACCCUAAUAUUUCCUGAAAGUCCUGAGAAAA
rnacentral:lncRNA from 1 species